rnacentral:sRNA from 1 species
GCCAGGCACAGCAGUGUAUGCCUGUAAUCCCAGCUACUUAGGAGGCUGAGGCAGGAGGAUCACAAGUUUAAGACCAGACUCUG